UACGGGGGGGGCAAGCGUUGUUCGGAAUUACUGGGCGUAAAGGGCUGGUAGGCGGCCAACUAAGUCCGACGUGAAAUCCCAAGGCUUAACCUUGGAACUGCGUCGGAUACUGGAUGGCUUGAAUUCGGGAGAGGGAUGCGGAAUUCCAGGUGUAGCGGUGAAAUGCGUAGAUAUCUGGAGGAACACCGGUGGCGAAGGCGGUUCUCUGGGCCUUACCUGACGCUGAGGAGCGAAAGCGUGGGGAGCGAACAGG
rnacentral:rRNA from 1 species